rnacentral:rRNA from 1 species
AACCUUUAGCCACUAAACCAGUAUUAAAGGCAACGCCUGCCCAGUGAACAAUUAAACGGCCGCGGUACCCUAACCGUGCAAAGGUAGCAUAAUCAUUUGUCUAUUAAUUGUAGACCUGUAUGAAAGGCAAAAUGAGGGCCCAACUGUCUCUUAUAGUAAGUCAAUUAAACUGAUCUUCUAGUCCAAAAGCUAGAAUACCACCAUAAGACCAGAAGACCCUGUGAAGCUUAAACUAAACUAUUAAACCCCAUAAUAGCUCCUUUUGGUUGGGGCGACCUUGGAAAAAAAAAGAACUUCCAAUACAAACCUACAAGUUUAACCCAGGCUGACAAGCCAUAAAAGACCCAGCAUAGCUGAGUAUUGAACCAAGUUACUCCAGGGAUAACAGCGCUAUCUUCUUCAAGAGCCCAUAUCAAAAAGAAGGUUUACGACCUCGAUGUUGGAUCAGGACAUCCUAAUGGUGCAGUCGCUAUUAAGGGUUCGUUUGUUCAACGAUUAAUAGUCCU